UACGGAGGUGGCGAGCGUUGUCCGAAGUUACUGGGCGUAAAGCGCGCGUAGGCGGGGGAUUAAGUGAGAAGUGAAAGGCUGGGGCUCAACUCCAUGCAGUGCUUAUCAUACUGGUCUUCUUGAGGGGGGUAGAGAGAAGUGGAAUGGCUGGUGUAGCGGUGAAAUGCGUAGAUAUCAGGAGGAACACCUGUGGCGAAAGCGGCUCACUGGACCAUAACUGACGCUGAUGCACGAAAGCUAGGGGAGCAAACAGG
rnacentral:rRNA from 1 species